rnacentral:lncRNA from 1 species
GAAAUUCUAGUCAUCUAUACAAUAAAAUACUAAUAUGGAAGAUAUAUGAACCCAUACCCUUCCUAUAUGUGCAAGUGUGUCAAAUUUAUCUUCAAAUUGCGUAGAAUCUAAAGCCUAUCCUCUGAUACCAACUGUAACACCCCAGGUUCCACAAACAACCCAGAAUGCUACUGAACUACACUUCUGACGUCCAUAUAUAAAAUUUCGGCAGCAUCCCCUUUGCAAGAUUGCAUAAAUAAGGGGGCAACAGGUUAUAAACAUAUAUCAUGACCAAAAACAUACUAAGUAUUAUUAAUCGGCUAGCAAGGGAAGAUAAACGUACGACCUGAACUGAAUUAAUCAGUGUGCACGUCUAUAUAAAAAACAAACUUCCCUUGACAAUAAGUUUCUAAUUAAAUCAUGGCUGCGCCUGGGCAGCGUUAUUGUGAGAGUGUAAGUGGACGUGCUGCUACUCCCCUCAUUCCCAACAUGUAUCAAGUACCUGCAUUGAGUAAUGCAAGAGUGAGAUGACAUAUCUCAGCAAGUAAAAUAUUAUCAAACUAUUCAACCACAUAAGAACAUUGUUUUACCACCACCUGAUUCCACCACCUUCUUAUUACCAAGAUGCAGCACGUAUACAACGUACAACACACCUAGUUACCACACCUCGCAGGUAGAAACCACAAUAGUAACAUAGUAAUGUCACACUUCAUAUAUUCCUCAUGAAUGCAAAUGUCUGCAAAUGCAAGGAUGACUUCUGCCUUCAUACCUCUAAGGAUAUGAAGCCGCAUCGUACCCCUCCUCGGGCAACAUACGAUGCUAAAAAAAUGUACCGGUACGGUCGGACCAUAAGAUCACGACAUAACUUCAAAAUGCAAGAUGGAUGAUGCGAUGUGCAUGUCAUGCCUACAACACUUCAUAUAACGUGAUUCAAAAAGACACUUCAACUUCAUCCAAGAUGGGAAUCAACCACAUAUAUCAUAACCAAAUUAUGAUCAUCCACAAUAUUAGACAAUUGAGAAUUAAUACUUCCAAACAAAUAAACUUCAUCAUAGAAUUCAAUGAUUAACAUAAUUAAAAACUUAUGCAUACUCAAUGACAGGGAAUAGGAUGCAAACCAAACGGUAGCAACCACCACUAUAUUUACUUGCCUUUACCGGAAGUUCGGGCAAAUCCCUAAGUACGAUCCGGAAGUCCACCACCUGUUUUUGACACACAACUUAGUGCACCAAUUUCACAUAACCAGGCUCAUAAACGACGCCGCACCUACGCACAAACUCAAACCCCGCCACGGGUUACAUCUCUCCCCACACCCACCAAACUGUAGCGGCGCUGCUUAAUAAUUUCAUAACUUCAAAAUUAUGACAGCAUUGGUAACAAACAAAAACUCCAGAGGCAUCUACAUAAAAUUCCCCACAAGUUUUGUAUACAAUUUAUAAUUAAAUUCCAACAUCUAAUUAGCCCAAAACAGUUCACAAGUUGAACCCUGUAAUCUGUUUUUUUCUCUUUUGGACAGCGACAUACCCGGAUUCAAACAGCGAUAUCUUUUAAAAUAUAAUUCCAAUUCAAGCGCAUAAGUACUCAUUGGAAAGAUAGGACAAAGCCAUACAUGAUUAUCAUACUGGUUAGCACUAAUUAACCACGAAAAAUUCCCAGAAACUGCUAAUACUACUGCUGUUCACCCACCUGAAAAAUCUGUUUUUUUGGACAGCAACAUACCCGGAUUUAAACGACGAUAUCUCCUAAAUUAUAACUCCGAAUCGAGCGCAUAAGUACUCGUUGGAAAGGUAUGACAAAGCUCUACAUGAUUAUCCCACGGAUUCCCACUAAUUACUUCACGAAAAUUCCCAGAAACUGCUAAUACUACUGCUGUUCACCCACCUGAAAAAUCUGUUUUUUUGGACAGCAACAUACCCGGAUUCAAACGACGAUAUCUCCUAAAUUAUAACUCCGAAUCGAGCGCAUAAGUACUCGUUGGAAAGGUAUGACAAAGCUCUACAUGAUUAUCCCACUGAUUCCCACUAAUUACCCCACGAAAAUUCCCAGAAACUGCUAAUACUACUGCUGUUCACCUACCUGAAAAAUCUGUUUUUUUGGACAGCAACAUACCCGGAUUCAAACGACGAUAUCUCCUAAAUUAUAACUCCGAAUCGAGCGCAUAAGUACUCGUUGGAAAGGUAUGACAAAGCUCUACAUGAUUAUCCCACUGAUUCCCACUAAUUACCCCACGAAAAUUCCCAGAAAUCCCUAGAACUACUGCUGUUCACCCACUCACAAAAUUCCUGGACAGCACCUCUACCGAUUCGCAAAGAUAAACACAUAAUCCAAUUGAUUGCAGCACAAAAACAACAAAAGUUAAUCACAAAUUCACCUUAGGUUCUUCCCUUACUCCUUCCUUCUUCCUCCCUCCAAACUCCAAUUAAGAUCGCAGCCACACGACGGAGAACCACACGGGAGGGCUGCACCUUGGGAGGAGGGGAAGAAAUGGGGGGGCAGCUAGGGUUUUGGGUGGUGAGGGCUGCAAAUGUUUGAGGAGGAAGAAGAUGUGAGAGGGGGGGGCGUCCAAGAGAAAGAGGAGGGGAAGCGGCGGCUGCAACAACAAAAG